rnacentral:rRNA from 1 species
AUUGAACGCUGGCGGCAGGCCUAACACAUGCAAGUCGAGCGAGCGGCGGACGGGUGAGUAAUGUAUGGGGACUGCCCGAUAGAGGGGGAUAACUAAUGGAAACGGUGGCUAAUACCGCAUACUAUCGGAUAACCCAUAUGGGAUUGGCUAGUAGGUGGGGUAAAGGCUCACCGAGGCGACGAUGUCUAGGUGGUCUGAGAGGAUGAUCAGCCACACGGGGACUGGGGCACGGACCAGACGCCGACGGAGGAAGCAGGGGGGAAUAGUGCACAAUUGGCGCAAGCCUGAUGCAGCGAUGCCGCGUGUAUGAAGAGGGCCUGAGGGUUGUAAAGGACUUUCAGCGGGGAGGCGUUACCCGCAGAAGAAGCACCGGCUAACUCCGUGCCAGCAGCCGCGGUAAUUC